UACGUAGGGUGCGAGCGUUGUCCGGAAUUAUUGGGCGUAAAGGGCUCGUAGGCGGUCUGUCGCGUCGGGAGUGAAAACUCAGGGCUUAACCCUGAGCCUGCUUCCGAUACGGGCAGACUAGAGGUAUGCAGGGGAGAACGGAAUUCCUGGUGUAGCGGUGGAAUGCGCAGAUAUCGGGAGGAACACCGGUGGCGAAGGCGGCUCUCUGGGCCUGUACUGACGCUGAGGAGCGAAAGCGUGGGGAGCGAACAGG
rnacentral:rRNA from 1 species